rnacentral:tRNA from 1 species
UGCCCCGUAGUGUAAUUGGCAACACGACUGACUCUGGAUCAGUUAUUCUUGGUUCGAGUCCAAGCGGGGCAGCCA